UUUGAGAGUUUAAUAUUGCGUGUAGCAUAUUCGCUGGUGUGGAAUUUAUAAACUAUGUCUAAAAAUAGCUGAAAACAGUACGACAAUGUUCUAUUUUCGCCGUUCUGUCAAAAAAAAAGGAUUUUAACUGUAGAAGAUUCAUACCAUUUGAUGCCAAGUGUACAAUAAAAACUGAAAUGAAAAUUGACAGCAGAAGUGUCAUGGUCUUGGUGGAAAAUGCUGUGCUCUUCAUUGACCUCUGUUUAAUAAUGGCUUAUGAUAAAAAAAAACUACCAGGAAUGCUUCAAGAUGGCAAUGGAGGGCAGUGUAAAAGACACUGAGAAAUCACAAUGUUUCAAACAUCUAGAAUAUGCCCAGAGUCAGUCUUCAAGAUACUCACCUUAAAGGUUCCAGUGUGAUUUAGGAGACUUUGUCAGAACAGUACAUUAUACCUACAUACACUGGAGAUACCAGACCCAACAGAUAACUACAGAUAUAUUUAAACAGAACCUGAAAUUAAUUGCAUAUCCCAAUACAACAUAAUACUUUAAACGGUUAAAUAGGCAGUGAGGCAUUUGUGUGUAAUCUUCAUUUAAUAUUUGAAAUUUCUUUUUCCUUUUUUUAAGUUUGAUUUUGCAUUUAAAAGCCAUUAGCAUUAGAUUUUUCAAAAAUAUAUGUAUUUUUAUACAGUUUCAACUGUGAUGUAUAUCCAGUUGUACAUGUUUCCUCUAAGGAUUAAAACACUUUUGAAUUAUAUAAGAAAAUUGAAAUGAUACAUUUAUUCAAACUUAAAUAUAAAAUAUAAAACACACACUACCAUUGUUGAUCAUGUAAACCUUCAUACUAUCUUUUAUAGAAAUUAUGUGAAUCUUUUGAUAUUUCUAAAUACAUUUAUUUUUACUUUUACUGGCUCAUGUUUAAACACAGAAUGCUAUAUAAAGUGUAUACUCCAGUGUAUAUCAUAACAUGAUUGAAAUAGAUAAUAGAUAAUAUUUGCAUGAAACUCUGAACA